AAGAGAAUAGGAGUGGGACACCAGUUAGAGGUCAUUCUGUAUUGUCGUUCUUGGUUAUUUUUUGACAUUGCUAUUUCUUGUAUUUCUUAUGUUUUCGAGCAUAGUAGUUCUAGUUAAGAGUUUGAGAGAGGGAGCAUCAUGACAAUUAAAAGUGUAAUGCAAGCUACAGAGAAAGAGGACAGUGGCCGAAACGUGAGAGCUAGACACGCAUUAAAACCACCUUCUGUGAUAAUCGUUACCAAUAUGGAAUCUAUGAAGUUGG
rnacentral:lncRNA from 1 species